UGUUUUCACGAUGUGGAACACGUCAAUGAACCCCAGAAUGGCUGCCCUGGCAUAGAAACUGUUCCAAGAUACACGUCCUGUGUCCUGAGUAUGGGGAUAUGCUGUAGGCACGUGAUGCUUGGAGCUAUCAGAACAGAGGGGCUAAGGCAGGAAGCCUGCCGGGGAACAAAGGUCAACCGUGAGCCCUCUGUAGGUAGCAGAAUGGCUUGUCUGAUGCUCGUGGCCAGACACUGCUUAUUACAAGACAGCUGGCUGGGGCAGAUGUGGCAGGCACCGGCUGUCAAGGGAUCUCCCUCCAGGUUUAGAGCAUGGCCCCCCUGACCCACCUAGGGCUUGGCUUGGCCUCCUCCUACCUGGGCAGUGUCCAUCUCAUUCAGCAUCACCACAGAGGAGCAGUUGUAAUCGAACACCAGCCUCCAGAAGUCUGCCACGGUGUUGGGUAGAGGGUGCUGGGUGACCACGAAGGCGGCAGGCUGCUUGUGGCUCUGACAAAGGAAUGACACAGGCUUCGUAAAUUACACAUCCAUCAGUGAUAUUCUGAUGAUGAUGAGGCCUGGACUGAGGCCAGAGGCUCCAGAGCCUGCCAAAUAGAUUAUACAAAACACCUGCCUGUUCUUUUAUCUCUCCACGCCCUGGCGGCAAAGGGGACCUUCUCAUAAUGAACACAAUCUCCUCCAAACUAAGACAUUUCAUUAGGAAAGUGUCACUGGGAUGGGAUUAUCCAAAUAAAUUAUUUAUGCCUCGGAGCUCAGCAAAUAAUCAUAAUUACAAUACGAAAUGAAAGAUUUCAGAUGCAGAUUUGUUGCUCUACUGGUCAAGACACCUCUUGGGAUAUAAGGGAUUGGCCGCAUCCCUGUGGCCACGAUGCUGGGCGAGGUUUUGGGUCGGCCUGAGGCCGAGAUUCUCCCAAAGGGGCAGGCUCCCUUCUGCCUCCAGGCUGGAGUGAGGGGCUGAGUUGCCCUGGCAAGGUGGGCACUGUGUCAUGUGAGUCAAUGGGGCAGUGGAAAGUACACAUGCAUUAUUAAUAGUCCGGUAGACCUGGGGUUCAAGUACAGCUUUACCACUUGUAAGUUAUGAGUCAUCCAUCUGUCCAUCCAUUUGCCCAUUUAUUCAUUCAUCCAUUCAUCCAUUCAUUCAAACUUUGUAGAGUGCUUUUUUUUUGGCGGGGUGGGUGCUAAAUACUGGCAAGUUAUUAGAUGAUUCCAAAGCUCAUGUUCUUCACCUGGAAAACGGAAAUCAUAAAUCCAAAGGAAUGAUGUCACACAGAUUGAAUGAGAUUUACGUGUGAAAAGGCCAGCAAACAAGAGCCGGAACGUAAGCCUACUGGCAGGGCAGAAACACCCCUGACUUUGUUUUACGUCCUUGGCACUGGUAUUGUCGCUGGCACAUGCUAGACAGUGCCACUCCAGUGAAUAAAACAAUAAAUUCAGUCCCGUGUUGCAGAUAGGGAAACAGAGGCCCAGAGAAAAUGGCCUGGGCGGGGGGGGGGGGG
rnacentral:lncRNA from 1 species